GGUGAAAAGCACCCCGGAAGGGGAGUGAAAUAGAACCUGAAACCGUGUGCUUACAAGUAGUCAGAGCCCGUUAAUGGGUGAUGGCGUGCCUUUUGUAGAAUGAACCGGCGAGUUACGAUUUGAUGCAAGGUUAAGCAGUAAAUGUGGAGCCGUAGCGAAAGCGAGUCUGAAUAGGGCGUUUAGUAUUUGGUCGUAGACCCGAAACCAGGUGAUCUACCCUUGGUCAGGUUGAAGUUCAGGUAACACUGAAUGGAGGACCGAACCGACUUACGUUGAAAAGUGAGCGGAUGAACUGAGGGUAGCGGAGAAAUUCCAAUCGAACCUGGAGAUAGCUGGUUCUCUCCGAAAUAGCUUUAGGGCUAGCCUCAAGUGAUGAUUAUUGGAGGUAGAGCACUGUUUGGACGAGGGGCCCCUCUCGGGUUACCGAAUUCAGACAAACUCCGAAUGCCAAUUAAUUUAACUUGGGAGUCAGAACAUGGGUGAUAAGGUCCGUGUUCGAAAGGGAAACAGCCCAGACCACCAGCUAAGGUCCCAAAAUAUAUGUUAAGUGGAAAAGGAUGUGGCGUUGCCCAGACAACUAGGAUGUUGGCUUAGAAGCAGCCAUCAUUUAAAGAGUGCGUAAUAGCUCACUAGUCGAGUGACACUGCGCCGAAAAUGUACCGGGGCUAAACAUAUUACCGAAGCUGUGGAUUGUCCUUUGGACAAUGGUAGGAGAGCGUUCUAAGGGCGUUGAAGCAUGAUCGUAAGGACAUGUGGAGCGCUUAGAAGUGAGAAUGCCGGUGUGAGUAGCGAAAGACGGGUGAGAAUCCCGUCCACCG
rnacentral:rRNA from 1 species